CGUGCGAUGCUUCGACGGACGGAGCGAGGCCGUCGCCGUAGACCACCAGAGCUCGGCUCGGCUUGUCCGCCAUUGCUGCGUCGCACAGAUACACAGAGAGAUUUUGAGCAGUAUGCAGCAGCAACUUAGCAAAUUUGUUUUCUUUUCUGACAUGGGCAAUUGGUUUAUGUCUGCUGCAAAUUGAGGAAGGAGCUAGAUCUCAUCUUAACAUAUUUGCACUAUGAUAUAGUACUAUGAAUGUAUUUAUAAGACUGAUCAAUUAUAGAUGGAUUGUAUAUAUUAUUUGGUAUUGCAGUGGCUCUUGGACUAAAGGAAAAUGCCGUCGAGUCCCUUAAAUGUAAAUAAGAGCAUACCGAGGAUUUUCGAUUAAAAGUUUAGGUUGAGAUGCA